rnacentral:rRNA from 1 species
UACGUAGGGGGCUAGCGUUGUCCGGAUUUAUUGGGCGUAAAGAGCGUGUAGGCGGCCAGGUAGGUCUGCUGUGAAAACUCGAGGCUCAACCUCGAGACGUCGGCGGAAACCAUCUGGCUAGAGUCCGGAAGAGGAGAGUGGAAUUCCUGGUGUAGCGGUGAAAUGCGCAGAUAUCAGGAAGAACACCCGUGGCGAAGGCGGCUCUG